GUCAAGCGACUAAGCGCAUACGGUGGAUGCCUUGGCAGUUGGAGGCGAUGAAGGACGUAGGAGCCUGCGAUAAGCUUCGGGGAGCUGGCAAACAAGCUUUGAUCCGGAGAUUUCCGAAUGGGGAAACCCACCCGUCAUAAGGCGGGUAUCAUGCACUGAAUACAUAGGUGUAUGAGGCGAACCUGGGGAACUGAAACAUCU
rnacentral:rRNA from 17 species